rnacentral:rRNA from 1 species
GUAGUUAGCCGUGGCUUCCUCCUUAGGUACCGUCAUUAUCGUCCCUAAAGACAGAGCUUUACAAUCCGAAAACCUUCUUCCCUCACGCGGCGUUGCUGGGUCAGGCUUGCGCCCAUUGCCCAAUAUUCCCCACUGCUGCCUCCCGUAGGAGUCUGGACCGUGUCUCAGUUCCAGUGUGGCCGAUCAGCCUCUCAGCUCGGCUACCCAUCGUCGGCUUGGUGGGCUGUUAUCUCACCAACUACCUAAUGGGACGCGAACCCCUCUAAAAGCGAUAAAUCUUUGACCUCUUCCCGAUGCCGGGUUGUGGUCUUAUGCGGUAUUAGCAGUUGUUUCCACCUGUUAUUCCCCACUCUUAGGCAGGUUGUUCACGCGUUACUCACCCGUGCGCCACUAGAAUUAUCAAUUCCAUCCGAAAACUUCCUUAAUAAUCCCCGUUCGACUUGCAUGUGUUAGGCACGCCGCCAGCGUUCGUCCUGAGCCAUGAUCAAACUCUGA